rnacentral:rRNA from 1 species
AUUGAACGCUGGCGGCAGGCUUAACACAUGCAAGUCGAGCGGGGUGAUGGUGCUUGCACUAUCACUUAGCGGCGGACGGGUGAGUAAUGCUUAGGAAUCUGCCUAUUAGUGGGGGACGACAUCUCGAAAGGGAUGCUAAUACCGCAUACGUCCUACGGGAGAAAGCAGGGGAUCACUUAUGACCUUGCGCUAAUAGAUGAGCCUAAGUCGGAUUAGCUAGUUGGUGGGGUAAAGGCCUACCAAGGCGACGAUCUGUAGCGGGUCUGAGAGGAUGAUCCGCCACACUUGGACUGAGACACGGCCCAGACUCCUACGGGAGGUAGCAGUGGGGAAUAUUGGACAAUGGGGGGAACCCUGAUCCAGCCAUGCCGCGUGUGUGAAGAAGGCCUUAUGGUUGUAAAGCACUUUAAGCGAGGAGGAGGCUCUUUUGGUUAAUACCCAAGAUGAGUGGACGUUACUCGCAGAAUAAGCACCGGCUAACUCUGUGCCAGCAGCCGCGGUAA